GCCAAGGCAUAUAAUUGUGUGGUGUGUCAACUCUAAUUUGUUUCCUCUCUGUGCAGGGGGAUGACUGAAGCUAUCACCUUGCUAAUCCUUGCUGUCCAAACUGGCCUCAUUGAGCUGCAGGAGUUUGUGGAAGCACUUCCGUGCAGUUUCUCUCUGUCCCUUCCUGCUGACCUUUCCAGCGUACAUGGCUUAUAUGAUCUGCCAGUUCUUCCACAUGGACUUCUGGCUUCUCAUCAUCAUCUCCUCCUCAAUCCUCACCUCUCUCCAGGUGCUUGGCACUCUGUUGAUCUGUUGUUCACUUCAUGGUGGAGGAGUUUCGUAAAGCUCCAGUGGAGAACGUGGAUGAAGUCAUAUAUUGUGUAAAUGGGACCUACAGAUGCUGGAGUUUCUGGUUGCGGUGUGCGUGGUGUGCUAUGG